rnacentral:lncRNA from 1 species
AGCCGAAGUUCUUAACAGAAUUGACCCUCGCAGGACUCUUCCGAUUUUCGACUGCAGAUGGCGAACUCCCAUUGCUCCGUCCGGACUCCUACGGGAGCCAGAUCUCAUCUCCAACUCCAACUGCGGGAAGACUUCGUCCAGACUCCUACGGGAGCCGGACUCCGUCCGUGACUCCAAUUGCAGGAAGACUCCGCCCGGACUCCUACGGGAGCCGGA